GACGAACGCUGGCGGCGUGCCUAAUACAUGCAAGUUGAGCGAUGAAGAUUGGUGCUUGCACCAAUUUGAAGAGCAGCGAACGGGUGAGUAACGCGUGGGGAAUCUGCCUUUGAGCGGGGGACAACAUUUGGAAACGAAUGCUAAUACCGCAUGACAACUUUAAACAUAAGUUUUAAGUUUGAAAGAUGCAAUUGCAUCACUCAAAGAUGAUCCCGCGUUGUAUUAGCUAGUUGGUGAGGUAAAGGCUCACCAAGGCGAUGAUACAUAGCCGACCUGAGAGGGUGAUCGGCCACAUUGGGACUGAGACACGGCCCAAAAUACUACGGGAGGCAGCAGUAGGGAAUCUUCGGCAAUGGACGAAAGUCUGACCGAGCAACGCCGCGUGAGUGAAGAAGGUUUUCGGAUCGUAAAACUCUGUUGGUAGAGAAGAACGUUGGUGAGAGUGGAAAGCUCAUAAAGUGACGGUAACUACCCAGAAAGGGACGGCUAACUACGUG
rnacentral:rRNA from 1 species